rnacentral:lncRNA from 1 species
GGAGGCGGGAACUCGGGCUCCGGUUCCCGGAUGGAGGUCAAAGGUGGUGCUCUUGGAGCUGACGCCUGCGGGCAGAAGGCGGGCAGGGGCUGUCGGGAGCAUGCGCACGGAGCAGAGCCCAGCAGCCCCGCGAAUCGUAGCUCUGGAGAGCUCUCUUGCUGCGUGUCCUUCCUCCCAUGGCGGGUAAUGCUGCUUCGGUUGUUUGUUGCCUGCGGUCCCUCUGCUUGGCCUGUUUGCUCCCGACGUGCACGUGGCUCACUCCUCCCUGCCUUCGAGCUGUUGCUCGCAGCACAGGUUCUCAAGGAGGCUUUAUCUGACCUUGCUAUUUCAUUGCACAGCCCGUAUGCCCACCCUUGCCAUCCACGCCCCGCUCCUGGUUUAUUUUUCUUUUGUUCAAACCACUCUUCACUUUCUAAGUUGUAGGUCCUUCUGGUUGUGCUAUGUGGGACACCGCCUCAGCAUGGCCUGAUGAGCAGUGCCAUGUCCAUGUCCUGGACCCGAGCUGGCAAAACCCUGGGUCAUCAAAGCAGAAACAUCAGAGAUCAGAAAUUAAGAAGAUAAAGUGUUAAAAUGAGAAAUCAAAAAUCAAGCAAACAAAAACCAUCUGCAAAGUGAAGACUCAUCCUUGAAAUCUGUAGAACUGUGAUGGCCAAUGAUAAUCAGACCCUCUCCUAUUUGAUUUUCAAGCACUUCACUUCUUAAAUUACAUUGUCAUAAGUUCUGCCUUGGAAUACCUUUUUUAAUCAUGAUUGAUUUUUACUUUGAGUUUUUUAAAGUAAAUUUUCUUGCUUUUGUUUUUGUUUUUUACAAACAAUGUGUCAGAAUCUGCUAGAAUUACCUGGAUCAUAUAAUCUUAGCCAAUUGAGCUUAGUUUUGUUUAUUUUUGUUUUGUUACAGUGCACUAUAAAUUUUAUUUGGCAACGAUUUUAAUGUUAUGUUUUGGGAAAAUAAUUGAAACAAAUAAUAUUUUCUACUUUCCUCCUCCAUUUAUUUUAUACUUUUUAUUUCAAAUACCUCU